rnacentral:rRNA from 1 species
AGCGAACGCUGGCGGCAGGCUUAACACAUGCAAGUCGAGCGGGCAUCUUCGGGUGUCAGCGGCGGACGGGUGAGUAACGCGUGGGAACGUGCCUUCUGGUUCGGACUAACUCAGGGAAACUUGAGCUAAUACCGGAUACGCCCUUUUGGGGAAAGGUUUACGGCCGGAAGAUCGGCCCGCGUCUGAUUAGCUAGUUGGUGGGGUAACGGCCUACCAAGGCGACGAUCAGUAGCUGGUCUGAGAGGAUGAUCAGCCACACUGGGACUGAGACACGGCCCAGACUCCUACGGGAAGCAGCAGUGGGGAAUAGUGGACAAUGGGGGCAACCCUGAUCCAGCCAUGCCGCGUGAGUGAUGAAGGCCUUAGGGUUGUAAAGCUCUUUUAGCCGGGACGAUAAUGACGGUACCGGAGGAAUAAGCCCCGGCUAACUUCGUGCCAGCCGCCGCGGUAA